rnacentral:snRNA from 1 species
CAUGCUUCUCGGCCUUUUGGCUAAGAUCAGGUGUAGUAUCUGUUCUUAUCAGUUUAAUAUCUGAUACAUCCUUGAUGAGAGGACUUCAUAUUAAACGGAUUUUUGGUCUCUUUUU